UGUUUAGAUCAACAGGAGAUUGUUUUAAAGAAGAUUCUGAAACCUUUUUAACCAUGAAUCCAACCUCUUCCUCUCUGAUGUUCUUGAAUGAAUGAACCUUCUUGAGGCUGAAUAGCUCGACGACAGCGAGCUUUCGCAUCUCUCGCCAGUACUCCCCGUACUGCGCGAAGCUGAUGUCUUUGAAACCGUACGAGAGUUUCCCCGUGGCGACAGUCUUUGGUCUGCUGCAGCAUCCAAGGUCAUGGAUCCUUAGAACUUCUUCAGCUGCUUCACUCGAGGAGAUGACAACCGUUGGAACAGAGCCGAGAUGAAGAAGUACCACGGGUCCGUAUUUGAUGGAGAGGUGAUGAAAGCAUCGGUGAGGUAGUCCUGCGAGUUGGUGCAAGUUUCCGAUGAUGGGAAAACUUGGAGGACUUGGAGGAAGAUUCAAUGUUUUAGUUUCCUUAAUCUUUUUCACGAAACAGAUCAAAGAGACAAACGUAAGAAGCAAGAAAACACAUGAGAAACAGA